UUAAAUUCGCAUAAUAGGUUGGUUAGGAAUAUGAAAACUAAAGACGUUACGAAAACAAUCAAUUUUAGCAUGGUGAGUAGUUAAUCAAUCAAUCCCAAACAUCACAUCAAAUGCAAGUAUUUUCAAAGAGAUGAGAUCAACAAGUAAUGUGAAAGUGUUAAUUUGAAUCAAACAAGAUUUAUAAAUGGUGGAUGUAACGAAGCUUUCUCCCAACGGAGUUUCAAUAGAUAAGUCAAAGUCUAAUUUCUCUGGAGUUAAAUUUAAAUGUUGAGCACAAGUAGGUGAAAUAAAAGA
rnacentral:lncRNA from 1 species